GACGAACCGUGCGAACGUUGUUCGGAUUCACUGGGCUUAAAGGGCGCGUAGGCGGACGGUCAAGUCGGGGGUGAAAUCUUUCAGCUUAACUGGAAAAGUGCCUCCGAUACUGAUCGUCUCGAGGGAGGUAGGGGCAUGUGGAACUUCCGGUGGAGCGGUGAAAUGCGUAGAUAUCUGGAGGAACACCGGUGGCGAAGGCGGCAUCCUGGACCGACACUGACGCUGAGGAGCGAAAGCCAGGGGAGCAAACGGG
rnacentral:rRNA from 1 species